rnacentral:rRNA from 1 species
UACAGAGACUGCAAGCGUUGUUCGGAUUCAUUGGGCGUAAAGGGUGCGCAGGCGGUUCGUUAAGUCGGAUGUGGAAUCUCACAGCCUAACUGUGAUAGGUCAUUCGAAACUGGCGGACUUGAGGGCUGGAGAGGAGACUGGAAUUGUCGGUGUAGCGGUGAAAUGCGUAGAGAUCGAGUAGAACACCGGUGGCGAAGGCGAGUCUCUGGACAGUUCCUGACGCUCAGGCACGAAAGCGUGGGGAGCAAACAGG